UUUGUCGAUUGUGCAGUUCCUUUAUUAAUUACAUUCUUCAUUGUGAUACCAUGUCUGAAUUAUGUGUAAGGAAUCACAACAAGAUGAUAAAGCUCUUGAAACUUCAAGAGUGACAGUCCUAGAGGGGGUUAAAGGCAGAACAAUUAACCCCCGAAGUUAUAAAUCAAUAAUUUGCAUAUAUGCAACGGGAAGAAUGUUGAUCACCCAUGUGGUCAACCACCUUAAUACUCCCGAAGUUAUAAUCAUGCAUAUAUCCAAUCACCUUAACAAAUGGACUAAAUA
rnacentral:lncRNA from 1 species